AAUCCUAACCUACUCUCUCGACCAAUUUUCACUAACACUGUAAAUACAGCCUCCUCCACCCAAAAAACACACUAAAAAAAUUCCAAAUCUCUCUCAUUUGGGUUGACCGAAACACAAAUCCCUGAACAAAGAAUCAAAACACCACUUUUGCUUUAUCUUUUAACACAACACAACAACAAAUACCAUGCCCAUGUACAAAACCUGUAGAAGUUUUUUUGACAACAAAAUCUAACACAAAUUAUGCGAAAUUUUUCUCUCUUUUUGUUUUGCAGGACAACAGAUCAUCGAUAACGACACAAAUCGAAAAGAGAAGCUCUCGGAUUCGACGGCGAAGCUCUUAAUCGCAACACCUCAGCCGCUGUCGAUUGCAAAAUAGUGGCAUUAAAUCUCCCGUGUGCAGCAACGAACCACCCUCGACUUCCUUCAAUCCCAGCUUUCAGACCCACCGCGCGAUGACCAAUAACACGAAGACCACCGUUGGCCGAUCCACCAUCCCGCCGCGUGCAGCAACAACCCUUCCGAUUCAGAUCCGUCGCCACCACGCUCGUUCAUCCUCUCUGCGCACAACCACGCCGGCAAGGCCAAGCCGACCUCACAACCACCGUAGCAGCCUUACGCUCCAAUCGCCGUCAACAAUUUCCGCUGCAUCCAUAUUUCCGGAAUGGGUAGUGGAAUGCUAAGCGUAAAUAUUUAUUUUGAGUGAAGAAAAGUAAAAAUGGUUGGAAGAGAAGUAUAUCAUGAAAGGACCGGUUUCUUAAGGAUUGUCAUCAUCACUGGUAUAUUGAUGUAUAGUGUGUUUUUUUUUUUGUUUUCUAAUUUUAUGCACUGCCACAUGUCUUUUUCUUA